GAAUUUAUUUAAGGUUUAACCUGCCCAGUGAUUUUAUUAAAUGGCCGCAGUAUUUUGACUGUGCGAAGGUAGCAUAAUCAUUAGUUUUUUAAUUGAAAGCUUGUAUGAAUGGUUGGACGAGAUUAAUACUGUCUCUUUUUAAUUAUUAGAAUUUAAUUUUUUAGUAAAAAAGCUAAAAUAUUUUUAAAAGACGAGAAGACCCUUUAAAGCUUUAUAUAAUUUGUUAUUAUUAUUUUUAGGAUUUUUUUUAUUUUUAAUAUUAAAUUAUAUUUGAUUGGGGAAAUUGAAAGAUUAGAAUAAUUCUUUUUAAAUUUUAACAAUUAUUUUUGAUUAUUUGAUCCAAUUUUAUUGAUUAUAAGAUUAAGUUACUUAAGGGAUAACAGCGUAAUUCUUUUGGGGAGUUCAUAUUUAUAAAAGAGUUUGCGACCUCGAUGUUGGAUUAAAAUUUAAUUUGGGUGUAGAAGUUCAAUAUUUUUGGUCUGUUCGACCAUUAAAAUUUUA
rnacentral:rRNA from 1 species